GACGAACGCUGGCGGCGUGCCUAAUACAUGCAAGUCGAACGCAGUGGGGACGGGUGAGUAACACGUGGGUAACCUCCCAUCAGAGGGGAUAACACUUGGAAACAGGUGCUAAACCGAUACUGAUGGAUGGACCCGUGGUGCAUUAGCUAGUUGGGGAGGUAACGGCUCACCAAGGCCACGAUGCCGAGCCGGCCGGAGAGGGUGAUCAGCCACACUGGGACUGAGACACGGCCCAGACUCCUAAGGGAGGCAGCAGUGGGGAAUCUUCGGCAAUGGACGAAAGUCUGACCGAGCAACGCCGAGUGAGUGAAGAAGGUUUUCGGAUCGUAAAACUCUGUUGUUAGAGAAGCGGUAUCUAACCAGAAAGCAACGGCUAACUACGUGCCAGCAGCCGCGGUAAUAC
rnacentral:rRNA from 1 species